GUGCCAGCAGCCGCGGUAAUACGGAGGGUGCGAGCGUUGUCCGGAAUCAUUGGGCGUAAAGGGCGCGUAGGUGGCGCGACAAGCGUGCGGUGAAAGCUCGGGGCUCAACCCCGAGUCGGCCGUGCGAACUGUUGUGCUUGAGCACUGUAGAGGCAGGCGGAAUUCCGGGUGUAGCGGUGGAAUGCGUAGAGAUCCGGAAGAACACCGGUGGCGAAGGCGGCCUGCUGGGCAGUAGCUGACACUGAGGCGCGACAGCGUGGGGAGCAAACAGGAUUAGAAACCCGUGUAGUCC
rnacentral:rRNA from 1 species